UGCUUUUUCGGCAGCACAUAGCGGUGUACUAAACCUGGAAUGACACAGAGAAGUUUAGCUGGCUCCUGUGCAAGACUGACACAUGAAUUUAUAAAGUGUUCCAUAGUUUU
ensembl:snRNA U6 U6 spliceosomal RNA